GACAGAGGGUGCAAACGUUGUUUCGGAAUUACUGGGCGUAAAGCGCGUGUAGGCGGCUAAGUAAGUCGGGCGUGAAAUCCCACGGCUCAACCGUGGAAGUGCACUCGAAACUGCAUAGCUAGAGUCCUGGAGAGGAAGGUGGAAUGCUUGGUGUAGAGGUGAAAUUCGUAGAUAUCAAGCGGAACACCGGUGGCGAAGGCGGCCUCUGGACAGUGACUGACGCUGAGA
rnacentral:rRNA from 1 species